UACGGAGGGGGCUAGCGUUGUUCGGAAUUACUGGGCGUAAAGCGCGCGUAGGCGGCCCUGCAAGUCGGGGGUGAAAGCCCGAGGCUCAACCUCGGAACUGCCUUCGAUACUGCGGGUCUCGAGUCCGGGAGAGGUGAGUGGAAUUCCUAGUGUAGAGGUGAAAUUCGUAGAUAUUGGGAAGAACACCAGUGGCGAAGGCGGCUAUCUGGCCCGUAAUUGACGCUGAGGCGCGAAAGCGUGGGGAGCAAACAGG
rnacentral:rRNA from 1 species